UAACAAGGUUUCCGUAGGUGAACCUGCGGAAGGAUCAUUAUUGAAUAAACCUGAUAGGCUGUUGCUGGCUUCUAGGAGCAUGUGCACGCCUGUCAUCUUUAUCCAUCCACCUGUGCACCUUUUGUAGUCUUGGAGUAAUGAGUGUAAAACCUAUCGAGGAACAACUUUGGUCCUCGGAUGGAGGCCUGCCAUGCGAUAGUGUGGCUGACCUUAUUACUUGCGCAAGUUCUCUGAGUCUAUGUUUUUCAUAUACCACGCAAAAUGUAAUAGAAUGUUUUUAUUGGGCCCUAGUGCCUAUAAAAUGAAAUACAACUUUCAGCAACGGAUCUCUUGGCUCUCGCAUCGAUGAAGAACGCAGCGAAAUGCGAUAAGUAAUGUGAAUUGCAGAAUUCAGUGAAUCAUCGAAUCUUUGAACGCACCUUGCGCUCCUUGGUAUUCCGAGGAGCAUGCCUGUUUGAGUGUCAUUUAAUUCUCAACCCCUCUAGCUUUUUGUGGCUGGCUUGGUGGCUUGGAUGUGGGGGAUUCUUGCGGGCCUCUUUAGAGGUCAGCUCCCCUGAAAUGCAUUAGUAGAACUGUUUGCGGAACUGUUCACUGGUGUGAUAAUUAUCAUCACCGAAGACAGCCGCUCUCAUGUAGUUCUGCUUCUAAUCGUCCUAUUUCAUGGACAAUAAUGUUUGAAUGCUUGACCUCAAAUCAGGUAGGACUACCCGCUGAACUUAAGCAUAUCAAUAAGCGGAGGAAAAGAAACUAACAAGGAUUCCCCUAGUAACUGCGAGUGAAGCGGGAAAAGCUCAAAUUUAAAAUCUGGCGGUCUUUGGCCGUCCGAGUUGUAAUCUAGAGAAGCGUCACCCGCGCUGGACCGUGUACAAGUCUCCUGGGAUGGAGCGUCAUAGAGGGUGAGAAUCCCGUCUCUGACACGGACUACCAGGGCUUUGUGGUGCGCUCUCAAAGAGUCGAGUUGUUUGGGAAUGCAGCUCUAAACGGGUGGUAAAUUCCAUCUAAAGCUAAAUAUUGGCGAGAGACCGAUAGCGAACAAGUACCGUGAGGGAAAGAUGAAAAGAACUUUGGAAAGAGAG
rnacentral:rRNA from 1 species